UGUACAGAGAGAAAAAAAAAGUGGCAAUAUGAAAAAAAGCUUUCAAAUUAGCUGAGCGUUGUGCGAGGAAUGUAUCUCGGAUGAAGCUAUAAAGUAAAGACGAGGACAGGAAAUCCUGUGUGCCCGCUCUUGAUCUUAUCACGCGGCAAUUUUUACGAAGCACUCCGCAUUCCAACCAGGUACGAUGGCACCUUGAUGAGCAGAUGCACAGGCACGUGUUUGCUUUCAAGCAGUUUCGGAUGGCGCGAGGCGAGGGAGCUUUGAAACGUAUACACCCACAGAGACGCUGGCCCACGGCCCAGCUGGAGAUCUAACGAGAAUGAGAGGCACAGCGAGCGUCUGGCAUCAUCGCCGUCGCGCUACUUUAGACAACUCUCCGUCUGGCCCCCGCCGCUGCCUGCUCACCUUGACCGGAUGGCUCGGCGGGCAGACGCUUUUGGGACCGCCCCAAAACAUCUGACACGUUAGACCGAGAAAUAGAUACACAUACUUGGGCCGGAAGGUGAAACUCGAGUCACGGCGAAAAUUCAAAGUAGCCCAGCAGACAUCAAAAUUUGAUGUCAGAUAUUUCCCAUUGUUAAUACUUAAUAUGCUUGGUGUUUUUUCUGGUGCAGGCGCACAAGUGAGGACACGGAUAUUUAAGCUGAGUUCUUUUCAAUGUGUCGACCAGACAGGUGAGGUGAGCUAUGCUUAAUCCCCACCCAGCCGUUUCAGGACAUGAAGGGCUGUUGGCAGUCUGUCAGUGUGCCGUGCUCCGAGCUUAAAAGGCUUGCUUGGACUAAAAAAGAACCAAGUUAUGAUGUGGCGCAUGACCGCCAUUGCAGGAGGGCACACUUUAAGGGAAGCAAUCGGAAAGUGUCAAAGAUAUUUCGUGACCCAACGUCAUGUUGCGUGCGCUAAAUAAAAGGCGGUAUGGGUUGCAUUUUAAUUUAUUUGACUUUUAAAUGUGACCGGCCUCAAGAGUAACUAGGAUUUAGCUUAAUUGAAAAUAAAUCAUUUAAAUGAUUUUAAUUGUAUUUUUUGGUUAGUUAAAACCAUAUUUCAACAAUCUGCCUUUGUGUAAGACUCUACCUUUAAGUCCUGUUGAAAAAUGGCUUAUGAUAACAAAUAAUAUUCCAUUUCAGAAGUCAUGUCAAUUUUUACAAUUGUUUUCCUACAAUAAACAUAUUGCGUAUUUGCUAGAACAAUUCCAAUUAAAUUAAAGGCGUGCACAAGUUACAGAUUGUAAACAUUCUUGUGGCACAGAUUUGUGCACUCAAAAGGCCGUGUUUUGGGUGGGUGCUAUCUGAUGGACUGGCGCUGAGAAUGCUUGAGAACAGCUGUCCGGUCUGCCUUUUUGACUCUGGCUAAAUGUCUCGCAGACAAAGAGAGGAAGCAUUUCUGCUCUAAGUGCACAAACAGCCCCUGUGUGCCCUUCUGAAAUUUGAUCCAGGAUGGAGCAGAUAGCUGUUUGCUACCCCCUUCUACUUCAAUAUGCUCUCACCAACACGUCAUUGGGUACAUUUGGAGCAUCUAACAAGAUCUAUACCGAUGCAUAUAUUCUGUAUGUAUAUGCAUAUAUAUAUAGUACAGUCAUAGAUGCCAUCAUUUUGAGCACAGAGCAACAACUUCAAAAGCUACACAUGGAUUUGAGACAUGCUGUAUCCUGCAUUCAUAUGAAUCUAACAUCAAGUAUUUAGUCGCUAAAAGCGCCAAGCUUCGACAUUCCAUUGCGCGAUCUUGAAUAUCGGAGCAGAACUAACUUGCAAAUGUUUGUAACGUCACAAAUUCUGUCCAAACCUGCCGCUUAAAAUUAGGCUGUUGGAUGAGAGCUGACAACGUUGAUCAAUGAGGGCCUUGAAGUCCCUUGACGCAAAUACAAUACAAACUGGAGGAUUUUAUUUUGGGGUUGAUUGAUGUUUGAGGUGGGAAAAAAUAGGUUAGCGUCAAAUGCUCAGUAUUUAUAACAGACUCCCAUAUAGCGUUCUACAAUUAAAUCCACAGGCAGUUUAAAUGAGAUCAAAUAUCUUUGGCUACUUUGUUGUAGAACUACUAAAUGUUCCACUCCCCAAAACAUUUUUUAUGUCAGAAAUCUUCGAGGACUUACACAUGGCAGUACUGUAACUCACAGCCCGAAUAACAAUCGAGAAGACAGAGCUGCUCUUUUGUGGCGUGCAAAUUAGCUUAAUAAGCACUUAAGUCGAUAUUUACUGUGACCAAGAGAACCAUCAAACCCCUAACUCCAAUUCUCAACCUUAAAAUAUGCAAAUGUACAUUGUUACAAAUGUUUAAAACCGCCACAACAAGCCAUGUGUGACUGGACCUGUUUUUUUUUUUGUUUUGCAAGCACCGUGUGCACAGAGAUUGUUUUGACAGUGUUGGCUGUAGAGCAAAAAUGGGGGAAACUACCUCUGAAGUUCACUUUGCCUUGAUUUCAUCCCUCCAGUAUUAAACCAAGAUCAGCGGCACAGGGACUAUGGUCUGUAGACUAACAAUAUGAUAAGAUGAUACAAUAUAGCACACUCUGUGGUAAUUAGAUAUUGGGGGAGGGGGGUCAUUCAGAUGACCCCUUUCAUCCUACGCUAUCCUCUUCCCGUAUAAACAUCUAGCCGUUCAUUCCCGUUCUUAUUAUCCAUGUGGGCCUGACAAAACUCGCUUGUAUAUAAUACAAGUACAUACAUGUACUUAAUACAAUAUUAAGACUUGAAUUAAUAUUGUGACGACUAGACUCACUUUGCUAAAUAAGUGUUCCACCAAAGUAGUGCAUACCCAAACAUGCAAGCGCAUGUCUUUUCUACUAUUUUUAGUCUUGGAUGGAAAUGAUAAGGCUAUUAUUUUUUGAAAAAUCUCCACCAUAAACUUUUUGCAAACGUUUAAGAUAAUAAUAAGCCUUUUGAUUACCAGAAGAGACAUUCAAAAGAUUUAAACAAAUAAAUAAGCGCUUGUAAAUAAUUGUGGAGCAUCUUGAUAGAAGAAAAACACGGCUUAGAUCUUCACAGAGUAGUGCCAUAAAAUUACAAGGUAUUUUACAUGUUAAACGUCAUCAUUAAAUUCAAAUGGCACCGAUGCAAAAAAAAGAGAGGUGCAUAGAUGAAAAGGACUUUGCUCAUUACAGGGUGGAGUGCAAGGCAGAAGGAACCGGCUCGAGUAAAAUGACUCAAUGAGCCUUUAAAAGUUUCAACUUAAAAGGCUCUGCUGUGUGAGCUGAUUUUUUUUUUUUUUUCCUUAGUCUAUCAUAUUCAGUUUGACGACGGAAUUUAGUUGUGUUGUGAUGCUGUUGAAUGUCUGUUGGCUCAUCUGGACAAUUAAGUCGGCGUAAUAGACAUUGACAUUUUUUUCCGAUGAGCUCAUCGCGAGAUGAGAAUUAACGUCUGACUGAAAAGAACACAAACAAGCCAUUGGACGAGGCCCUGAGCGAACGAGACCUGUGGUACCUUGAGAGGCGACAGCCCGUCUCCUGUUAUUUUUCCUCUCAGGAAGCCUUACGUGGAAAAUGACCAAAUUUAAUUUGAGAACAUUAAUUCUAUUUAUUCGAAGGAGGAAAUGAGGUGCUGAGUCAGGGGAGGAGCCGGCGGCUUUGCGCGCAACAGAAACCAAACACCUUGGAGCUGCCUGGCUCUCUAAUCGCCGCCCCCCACAGACACACACAAAGAGCUUUUCUCACCCCUCUUUGUGUUUAUUUUGUGUUCAGACAUUAUUUUUGUGUAAUCGUGCGACUCAGAUAUGGCAGAAUGUGAGCAGCGGAGGGAAACUCUACGAAGGCGAUGGGAGGGGGGGAACAUUUACACAGUCGCCUGACCUUUUGAUGAACCUUUUCUUCACUAAGUAGGCCAAAGGAGGUUUGGAGAUUCUAACAAAUGCUUCUAUUUUCAAUGUUUGGCCUAUUCCGAAUCCUUGAGAUUUGUUCGACUGCGAGGAGGUUUAUAAAGACCAAAGGGGUCUCCCAAAUAUUCUUUCAA